AGUUUGUUGUUUGGCAUGAUUUGCUUUCCCUUGUGUCCUCCAAAAGAGGCGUGGUGUUGAUGGGUUUUCUGUGUUUUUCAUAGUGAGAAAGAAGGAUCAUAGCAUUUGAAGAGUUAAACACAUCAUUUGGUUUCAUGAAGAAUCAACUGGGUGGCAAACUAUUUUGACCCUCUAGUUCAAUCUUCCUAGCUGAUGAUGCCACCUAAAUGUUGAUUUUGUUGAAAUUUGGGAGCUGGACUUGGUGAAGAAUCAACUAGAUUUCAAAUAAUUGUAGUUUAUGGUUUAAACUCCAUAUUGGGUCUCCUUCAGGCUUAAAUUUGAUGAUCUUUUCUGCUC